GGGCGGGUAGCUCAGCUGGUUAGAGCAUCGCGUUGACAUCGCGAAGGUCGUAGGUUCGAGCCCUAUUCCGCCCA
rnacentral:tRNA from 1 species